UACAGAGGGUGCGAGCGUUGUUCGGAAUUAUUGGGCGUAAAGGGCGCGUAGGCGGUGCGGUAAGUCACCUGUGAAAUCUCCUGGCUCAACUGGGAGCUUGCAGGCGAAACUGCCGUGCUGGAGUGUGGGAGAGGUGCGUGGAAUUCCUGGUGUAGCGGUGAAAUGCGUAGAUAUCAGGAAGAACACCUGUGGCGAAAGCGGCGCACUGGACCACAACUGACGCUGAGGCGCGAAAGCUAGGGGAGCAAACAGG
rnacentral:rRNA from 1 species